AGGUUCUGUGGGGAAAACGGUGGGUGGUCAGCACACGCACGCACGUCGAUACGGGAGGUAACCAGACAGUGUCUAAGCAGACUCCGAUAUUCUUCGUACACGCUGCGAACGCACCAGCUCCCUUUUCUCCCCGCCACAUCCCUCGGCUGUCCGCGCGCGCACUCUUCUUCUCGUAGCCCUCUGCUAUCCCUGCCCCUCCCCCUCCCAUCCACCCACCUUCUGACUCAUACUCCGCCCCACAACAAUCAACGAGAGCAGAAGACGCGCUGGAGACACCGCCGUCGGCGUAGACGAUCGGUGCUUCUGUUUCGCCCACUCUAAGGUCUUCUGAAGGAAUAAAAGAGAGAUACGCGUAACAGAUAUAUACGCAGACUCACUGAUAAGACAGAAACACACGCACGCACGUGCGCAGUCGCCCCUCUUCCUCUCCCUCCCGCACAUCGGCACAUAGGCGCAUACGCGGACGGUGGACUCUUCUUGGGGCUUCGAUUCCUACGCUCUGGCGCUUCGUCGCUGCUAGAACUAUACGCACGUGUCUUCGUUCAAUUGUAUCGCUGCGGUGCGUCUAGCCUCAUCCCCCCCUCUCCCCCGCGGCCACUUGCAAGCGCACAGACAGACGAAGCGCGGCACAACGGAAGAGAGUACAACGGAAGCGGGGCAAGGCGACCGCGAUACUGGUCAGGCAACCUUACCUUUACCUUCCCUCCCCCCCCCCGAACUGCAUCCUCUCCCAUAGACAUAGACACGCACACUGAGAGGCACACUUGCUCGCGAGAGCUCUCCCUCGUGCGCUGCAGACAGACAGAAACAACGGAGGAACGGAAAGGCAAAACGCACCACGCUCAACUCACACGUAUUGCUCUAUCGCCGCGCAUCGUGUGUGUGUGGGGGGGGGGCACGUGUCGACAUCGCAAGCGCCCACCGAUAUAGAUUCACCGUGUUCCCUCGGCAUCUUUCCUUGUGUGAUAGUUUGCGCACACGCGUCACGCUUGACGGCUUAUUUUCGCUUUCCCCCGCGCACAAUUCUUUCCUUUUCUCGUUGUGCCGUGCUGAUCUCUAGAGCGCGAUUGGGCCGCAGCUAUUGCUACGUAUAUAUCUGCCGUUCUCGUUCCACCCACGCACCCACCUCCUUGUCCAUUCGAUCGGCUUCCGAGGAGUGGUCCCUCUCGCGCGCACUAUCCUGCUCAGCACAUCCGUGAGCUGCUACUGCUGCUGCAAAAAGGAGCAAUAUACAAGCAUAAGCCCUUCUUGCAAGCCUGCACUCUUUCAUUGCCGCGCUACCGAGCACACCAGACACACCAGACACACCAGCAUCACACUCACCUGUCACUUCCCAGACUUCAUCGGCACCUCUGGUGCCCUCCUUCUCCUCCUUCCCUCCCUCCGCCCACCUUGUCCAUCGAUCGUGUGUCUUUUAUCUUUCUUUUCCACAGACAACCGCAGACACUCUUUCUCUGCAGGCGCACUCGACCCUCCCCCUCCUCCUCACGUAUAGCGUUGUGUUCUUCUGCCUGUGUGCGCGCGCGAUUUUGAGAGUAUCUCCUGCUGGCUGCUUCCGUGCUCUCGGCGUGGCGCACUUCCGUUUCUCCAUCGCUCAGACGGCUCCCCUAGAUAUUGCCCUUGUGUCAUUGCCCACGCCCUCCCCGCUCCUGCUCGUACCUCACCUCCCCCCCCCCCACACACACACAGGCGUAAGGGGUCUCCUCGCCGCUCGUUGCUCGCCAAGGCCACGCAUCUCUGCACGCAGACACCCGUACGCGCGUACGCGGCGAUAGCUUUUAGAGCGGAAAGGCACGGAUUGUGGGAGAGGGAGUAAACAAGCCCCACAAGCCCAACCCCCUCCAAACACGCACACACAUACGACGUGCAGUGGCAGAAGGUUUUCUCAGUUCUUGUUUUCAGACCCUUUCGCACAUCUUUGGUUAUAUGCACGCUCACUGUCUUCUUUUUCAUAGACUCAGCUCACUUUGUGCCCGGUGCCGUCGACCCACGCCGCUCUUCUUGUUCGUCACAGGCGCACACAGGGCCAUCGUCGCGCACGACAAUAUCGCAGCGCAUCGAAACUCCCUUGCACCGUCUCUCCCUAUCCUCACUGUUUCUACUGUGCAUCUUCUUAUUGUGUGACGCGAGGGCGCGGACGGUGCGCGUGUGAUCUGCUGGCUGGCCCCUGUCUUUGCCCGACCGCCUUCUCAUCUCCCUCCCUCCAUCCCUGUCCAGCUGCGCGCCUUUUCCCUGGCUGCGUUCUUCCUUGUUUUUCUUUUGCUUUCACGUCUCCGUUACACCUCCCCCUAGAUUCGCAUCCGCCUCUCUUCGUCAGGACACCGUUCGUCACACGGGGUGCGCCGUGCGGUGGAGCUUGCUUCCAAGCUCGCUUGCCCUGCUUUCUUUGCUUCCUCCGUCACCGUUUGGUUUUCGCAGCGGCUACCACCGUUGUUGCUCACCUGUUCUUCAUCUUGCAUCAAUGACAACGCCUAUCCACAGGCGUGCUAGCAGCUCUUCCCCGGAUCGACUGCCCCCCGCGCCGCUGCCGUCGUCUCUGUCGACGAUCAGGCGUGUGUGGAACGACCGCCUGCGAGCGUUUUCAUCAGCGCGCGACGUUGCUUCCGUGGGCGAGCCCGAGGACGUCGUCAGCGGUACCCCGAAGGUGAAGGAUGAGGCGCGGCUGCGCCAGGUCGCCGUCGCCAGCUCCGGCGGUGGACGCCUCGAAGCCGCGUCCGGGGUGGAUGACGGCCUCACGGACAGCCCAGCUGCGACGGUGCGGACUCGCUCCUCCUCGCUCUACCCCACAAGGACGAGCAGCAAGCGAAGGACGGUGGUAAGGUUCAAGGAUGCGACCCCAGUGAACCCUCACACUUCCGCUGUUGUCGCAGCGCGGCACCCUGUCGACCCCAACGCCGGAGAUAUGGUGGGCCUCGUGAAGCCGCUGUUUCCGAACACGCUGCUGACUGAGGCGCAGGAUGAACGGCGGCUGCUGACGCUCGUGUUGGACCUCGACGAGACGCUUGUCAGCAACCGCGACUCCCGUCAGUCAGCUGCCGUGCUCCGGCCAUACUGCCUUCACGUACUGAACGCCCUGCGUCACAUGAAGGAGCUGGAGAUCGUGCUGUGGACAGCAUCCACGAAGGAGACGGCGUUGCCGGUGGUGGAUCAGCUGCAUAAGACGGGCAUCAUCUUCGACGACAUCAUCUUCCGCAACAGCAUCUGGUUCACGCAGCCCAUUCACACGAAAGACCUGCGGCUGCUCGGCCGCGACAUGAACCGCGUGCUUAUUGUCGACAACUCCGUCGGCUGCUGCAAGCUGCACCCCCGCAACGCUCUGCUCGUCGAGGACUUCCACGGUGUGAGGCGUCGCGAAGACGCGGCCCUUGUGAACGUGUACUACGUCGUGGACGCCCUGCUGCGUAUGAUGCGGGAACGUUCGAUUCCGGUCUCGGAGGGACUGGGGCGCCUCAUGGCGGAGGGGCAGCUGUGCCACCCGGUGAGCUACGACCUGCCUGAGUUCUUCAAAUACAUACCGCUGACGGAGGUGCCAGAGCUGAAGCGGCCGCCGGUCGGAUGCUUUGUGCGGGCGAACACGGCACCGCCAAACACGUCUAUCAUGCAGCAUUGGGUCUACUAGCAGACGCGAGACAAGGAGAACAAGCGGCCGAGCGGAGGCGGGCGACAAGGCGCGGUGAGUGGUAGAAGGGGUGCACACAUCUGCGUCUAAACUUGGUCGUGCGCGUCAUCACACGGCAGCCUUUCACGGACACGGUGCACCUGAUAGGCGAGAGGCGAACUAUUACCCCCCUCCCCCCCCCCCACACACACACACACGCUCACAGGAGAGGUAGCGAGGAGGAGGUGCCGGACGGAUAAUGCCAGCCGUGCAUCCCCGCUUCCGCCCCUGUUCUACUUCUGUUCGCUCCUCUCCUCCGUCAACUGAGUAGAGUGGCUUCGGCUGCGCUGUGUGGUUCUUCAUUACAUCAGAAAAGGUGCUGAAGCACCACCGCCCCCCUCUCUGUUAUCUCUCCGUCCUGGUGCCGUGCAUGCAGGUGCGCGUUCGUGUGCGUGUUUCGGGGCACCACGAAUAUGCCACCCGCCACAUUUUUAUUUUCCGUUUUUGUGCACACGCAAACCUUGUAAAGGGAGACGUGCGUAACAGAGCCGCCAUGUGCUCUCCUACUAACCGGCACACCCACCCCCUCCCUGCGGUUGCGAGGCCGACUGUUGCAUACACGCAAGCACGCGCACAUCAUAAAGGCAUCUAUAGAUGCGCCCACUCCAUCUUGUUUUUGUUUCCUUGUUGUCUGCUGCCCUCUUGUACUGUUGCGCUGCCCUUUCACGCGUGAACCCGUGGGCUGGCAUGCGCGCAGCUGUUUUGGAGGUGGAUGGAGGCUGAAGGGCUCUCGCGUGUUACCUUUUCGUUUUCAUCCCUCUCUCGCGCGCGCAUGCUUGUCAAAGUGGUGGUGUCCUGCUGAUGCGGCGGUGCUUGAAGUUAGCGCAGAUACACACACACACACGCACACGCAGAGAGAGUGUGUGGAAAGGAGAACGUAUUCGGGUCUCCAUCAUUCCCUGCACCGUCGUCCUCUGCAACGCCUAUAAGCUCGCCCCCGCUUCUGUCGGGCGCCCCACCUUUCCUCCCUUCGCCCAGGCGCUUUUUUUUUUAGAAUCGCCGUCUGCCUGCUCCACUGCAGCGCAUUCGCUGUGUCCUUGUCUCCGUUGCUGCGUGUGUGUUUGUUCCGCACUCGGGUCCGUGGACGGCGCCCUUGUCCGCCCCAUCUCUCGUCUCUCCGUCGUAUUUCCUUCGGUGUGCUGCGCCUCGCUCUUGCUUGCCCACUCCUGCUGCUGCCGCUUCUGCUCCCAUCACCCCAGGAAGCAAGCAUGGGCACAUGUGAGGUAGGUGUGCGCGCGCGUGUUUUGUAAGUACCCUUGUGUCCCCGUCGAUUUACUUGUGUGUUGGUGGCAGUCCCGAUCUCCCGUCCACGGAGAGACGAGAUGG
rnacentral:misc_RNA from 1 species